rnacentral:rRNA from 1 species
UACGUAGGCAGCGAGCGUUGUUCGGAGUUACUGGGCGUAAAGGGUGCGUAGGCGGCCUAUUAAGUUUGGUGUGAAAUCUCCCGGCUCAACCGGGAGGGUGCGCCGAAAACUGGGAGGCUAGAGUGCGGGAUGGGAGAGUGGAAUUCCUGGUGUAGCGGUGAAAUGCGUAGAUAUCAGGAGGAACACCGGUGGUGCAGACGGCUCUCUGGACCGUAACUGACGCUGAGACACGAAAGCGUGGGUAGCAAACAGG